UACGGGGGGGGGCAAGCGUUUGUCCGGAUUUAUUGGGCGUAAAGAGCGUGUAGGCGGCUUGACAGGUCUGCUGUGAAAACUCGAGGCUCAACCUCGAGAUGUCGGCGGAAACCGUCUGGCUAGAGUCCGGAAGAGGAGAGUGGAAUUCCUGGUGUAGCGGUGAAAUGCGCAGAUAUCAGGAAGAACACCCGUGGCGAAGGCGGUUCUCUGGGACGGUACUGACGCUGAGACGCGAAAGCGUGGGGAGCGAACAGG
rnacentral:rRNA from 1 species